rnacentral:lncRNA from 1 species
CGCGACGCGUUGGCGCGAUAGAUCUGGUGAGUGAGUGGUAGACUACUAGACUGGCAGUCUAGCAGAGAGGCGAGCACGGGGAGCAGCGGCGCAAACCGGUGGGAACGAACGGCCGAGGCCUUGUUUAGUUCACCCUGAAAACCAAAAAGUUUUCAAGAUUCCCCGUCACAUCGAAUCUUGUGACACAUGCAUGAAACAUUAAAUAUAGACAAAAACAAAAACUAAUUACACAGUUUAGCUGUAAAUUACGAGACGAAUCUUUUGAUCCUAGUUAGUCUAUGAUUGGAUAAUAUUUAUCACAAACAAACGAAAGUGCUACAGUACCGAAAAUUUUUCACUUUUCGGAACUAAACGAGGCCCGAGUGUCAGACCAGUGCUCGUGCUCAUCGCCGAUACGGCGGCGAGAGACCGGUAGUUCAGUGCGGCGGGCGUGGGCCAUGUAGGCCACUCGCCCACUCGGCGGGCGUGGGCCAUGUGGGCCACUCGCCCACUCCUCGCCGAGCAACUGCAGCAGGGUGCUACUAAGUCCCAAUAGCUAAGG